rnacentral:lncRNA from 1 species
AUGGCGACGGGGCUGCGGCGGGAGGAGAGGGGGGGGGGGGGGGCUGGAACCGGGGAUCCCCGCACCGGAGCCGAGCUUUGGCCGCACCGGAGCCGGGAACCGGAGCUGCACCGUGAAGCCGGGAGCCCAACCGUGAAGCCGAAGCCGGGCCUUCGGUGCUUACCUCGGCGGCCGCCCCUUCGGCUGCGGGGCUCCCCGGCGAGCCGCCAGCCGCGGAGCCGAGCUCCGGUGCCGAGCUCCCCGCCCGCCGCCGCCGCCCCUCACCGCCCCUCACAGCUCCUCCGCGGCUCAUGCGCUUUUCCCCAGCCCCCGGUUUCGAUCCCCGGUUUCUCGUUUGGCUCCGCCACCGGGCCGCGGCCACGGGGCGGGAGAGGGUGGCGGUGGCGGUGGUGGUGGCGGCGCCGCCCCGGUAGGGCGGGCCCCGGGGAGCGCCCCCCUCACGGCUCCGGGACACCCCGAAGGGGGGAAAAAGGAGGCCCCGGUGCUGUCCCGGUGCCCUCAGGGGGCGAGGAGGCUUCCAGGCCCUCUGAGGCCUCCUCACGGUGCCCCCCCGGUGCCUCCCGGUGGGUGGGGGGGGGCACCCGUGGGUGCGCCUCGAGUGCCUGUGGUGGGGGCUGGCACCGCCAAAGGGGUCUGGGACUGACCCCUCAGGGGGACACGGCCUCUCCCGGUCCCGUUUUUAUGGCCAAAGUUGGUGCUGGAGGCCCGAAAUGUGUUGUCACACACCCAGCACACCCACUGGGACCAUCCCAGUUAGAAACUGGUUUGGGUUGUGGGAGCGGUGCCGCUGAGCGUCGCACAGAAUCACACCGAAUUUCGAGGUUGGAAGAGACCCCAAAAUCAUCGAGUCCAACCUCUGUCCUAACACCAACAGUCCUCCACCAAACCAUAGCCCUACAUCGAAACAUCCCCACGGCCCGAGGCUUUAAGCACCCACCCCACACAGCCCCCGGCACACGAAGCUUUCCCAGCUCCGUGUCACCCCACGGGGCUGGUGGCAGUGCUGCCGUCUCGGUGUCUGCCCACAAAUCGGGGGGAAAUCCGACAAAUUUUGCCACGUGGGGUUGA